GUGACCCUGGCCAGCAGCGUGGGCGUGCUGAGCACCCUGCAGUCGGCCGCCCAGGCCGUGCCGCAGAGCGGCUGGUCCGUGCUGCUGCCCAGCGCCGAGGAGCGGGCCGGGCACUCUCUGCUCCCCUGCCCUGCACAGUUUCAGGCAAUGACGUGAACAUAAGUCGAGGUUGUCAAUUCAUGAGUGAUCUUCUGGUGGGCAGCUUGGUGGCUGCUGGAGGGUUGGAGUCCGCCUUAUACGCAGCCAUUACUGCAGAGAUCCAGGUAUGGCCUUGGAGGCUCACAUGACCUGGUGGUGCUCUGAGAUCGGAAAUACCACACUCACACGCGAAGAAUAACUGAAAACAGUAAAACUAAACUUGUCUCAUAUCCAAGUAUUUUUUUAAACUCUUUUAUGUGCUAACUUAAACAAUUAUUGAGAUAUGAUUUAAUUGUGACAUCCUGCAUGUUGUCUGUUUCAGUGAAGUUAACAGGUAACUUGUUCAUCAUGUAGACUGUUCCCAUCACCCGGAAAGAUCCCUGUGCCCCUUGGCACUCACAGCCGGGACGCUCCCCUGCCCUCAGAUGAGAUUCAUUUUCCUGCUCUGAGUGUUGCAGCAAUGUAGCUGCAGAGGCUGCACUCUUUCCUGCGUUGCCUUGGAGAAGGAUUUUCGGAUUCACUCACACUGUUGUGUGUCUUGUGACUUGGUUUUUAUUAUUGGGAAGUUUUCCAUUUUAUAGGUGCAGUGCUGUUUGUUACUUCAUUCUCCUAUUGAAGGACAUUUAAUUGUUUUUGGGUUUUUUUUUUGUUUGUUUUUUUUUGAGACAGGGUCUUGCUCUGUCACCCAGGCUGGAUACAGUGACCUGAUCGUGGCUCACUGCAGCCUGGUCCUCCUCGGCUCAAACGAUCCUCCCACCUCGGCCUCCUGUGUUGCAGGGACCACAGUCAGGUCACAAUGCCCGGCUAGUUUUUUGAUUAUUUUGUAGAGACAAGGUUUCACUAUGUUGCACAGGCUGGUCUCGAACUCCUGGGCUCAAGUGAUCCCCCAACCUUGGCCUCCCAAAGUGUUGGGAUUACAAGCGUGAGCCACUGCGCCCAGGCUUUCUGGGUUUUGGCCAUGUGGAGCUGCCACGAUUGUGCUGUGUACAAGUACUUCAGUGAACAUAUGUUCUCCCUUAGGGUAAACACUUGCAGUGGAAUUUGUUAGGUCCUGGGGUAAGUAGCUGUUCAUGGUUUCGCAAAGUGGCUUUGCCGUUUACACUUGAACCAGUGUGUGUGAGAAUUCUAGCUUCUUGUCCUCACAAAGCAGCUGGAUGCUGCGUGUGUGGGGCGGAUCCCAUGGGUGUUUGUGAGAGCCAGGAGCAGGGUUAAGGAUUUUAGGGACUUCACAGAAGGAGGCUGGAGAGCAUCAGCAGAGGCCGCCUGGACCUUGGAUCUGUAAAAAGAAGACACUGAAACUGCACAACUAAGUUGGGGUUUCCAACAGGGCAGGUGUGGGCCUUACGUGGGUAGGUGUGUGCGGUGGCACACACAGGCUGGGAUAGCUUGGCCCUGGGGUCAGGGCUCAGCCAGCCUGUGUGCCUUCACACCUGCUAAUGAGAUCC
rnacentral:lncRNA from 1 species